rnacentral:rRNA from 1 species
UACAGAGGGUGCAAGCGUUAUUCGGAAUCACUGGGCGUAAAGGGCGUGUAGGUGGCUUUGUAAGUCUGAUGUGAAAGCCCUCGACUCAAUCGGGGAAGUGCAUUGGAUACUGCAGGGCUUGAGUAUGGGAGAGGAGAACGGAAUUCCUGGUGUAGAGGUGAAAUUCGUAGAUAUCAGGAGGAACAACGGUGGCGAAGGCGGUUCUCUGGACCAUUACUGACACUGAGGCGCGACAGCGUGGGUAGCAAACAGG